AGGGGUUCAGGAAUUUCCUGGAAGUCUUAUUUUUGCCCCACUGUGUACAUGGUCCCAUGACCAAAACAGUUCCAUACACUUGACGACAAAACACUGCUGGACAAUUUAAGAUGGCCGCUGCCACAUGUUUGAAUCUGUUCCAGUUAAAAGUCCAAGGGGCAUUGUGCCAAGUCCCAAUAUGCACAAAUAGUGUUUUUAAAAGGCAAUACACCCCAGGGGCCAUAGUCACAGGGCAAGAGGCUGGCAAGCAGGCCUCUCCAAAACCCAGUGGCGAGGUUACUUUCGCCACAC